UACGUAGGGUGCAAGCGUUGUCCGGAAUUAUUGGGCGUAAAGAGCUCGUAGGCGGUUUGUCGCGUCGAAUGUGAAAACCCGGGGCUCAACCCUGGACCUGCAUUCGAUACGGGCAGACUAGAGUUCGGCAGGGGAGACUGGAAGUUCCUGGUGUAGCGGUGAAAUGCGCAGAUAUCAGGAGGAACACCGGUGGCGAAGGCGGGUCUCUGGGC
rnacentral:rRNA from 1 species